rnacentral:lncRNA from 1 species
UAGGUUCAGAGACACAAACUCCAGAGCAUCAGUAGAUUCUAGUCUCAGCAGUCAGAGUUAGAAAUGAGUCCUCAUCUUUUGAGGACACAAUCAUUAUUUUAUUAUCUCAUUAAUUAAUUUAUUAGUUGGAGUUAGUUGGGGACAUGUCCCAUCAACUCCUUAUUCAGACAGUCAUGUUUAGAGCCUUUUCAGACUAUAGAAUGUUCAAAUGAUUUAUUUUAGUUGUUUUGAGUAUUUCGUACCCCACCCAUAUGUUAUAUCUUUAUCAGAUCUUA